CAUAGUCUCUAGGCUGGAGGUAAUUUCUGGGAAGGUCGGUCUUGAUUUUGGUUCAUACUGAAAGCAAUGUAAGGCAAUGUUUUGUGGCCAAGAAUAUACCACAUAUAUCUCGAAUUAUAUACAAGAAAUGAAUGGAAUGUCAUCAUUCAAGAAAUUUCGAUUAUCCGAAUAUUUAAGAAUUAAAGAGUAGAGUUAAAUUUAUAAAAAUGAAUUUUAUUUUAUUUAAUAUUUAAUUGAGUUCCUAUUAUCUGAAUUAAUUAUUAUUAUUAUAGUUAUUUAAAUAUCGUUAUAACGUAAUAAAAUUGGAAAUAUAUUUUAUUACAAUAAAUAUAUUUAGUAAAAAAUUAAUUAGUUAAGUAUUAGCUAAUUAUUUUCCAAAAUUAUUUCUGUAUUAAUAUGUUAUUAUGUAUUUUAGAAAAAAUGUUUUACGAAAUUUCAUUAUAUGAACUUUUAUUGACUUUAAUUAAAUGAAAUAUCACAUGAUGAAUUCUUAUUACAAAAUAUUAAUAUAUUCAUGGAAUUCUUUUAUGUAUAUAGAUAAUUAUAGAAAUAAAAAAAGAACAUAAAAAUUUAUAUCAAAAUGAAUAUUUAAUUCAUUUAAUUGUAAUAUGACACAUUUUGCGUUAAACCAGUAUUAUGUGAUUUAAUCUCUCGCAGAUCGCGUGUGUGAUCUAUCCUUAGUUUGUUUAUUACAUUUGUUAAAUUAAUUAAUUAAAUAAAAUGUACGAUAUGCAUGACAUAAAAUAUAAACAUUUAUUGUAACAGCCAUUGUAAUGCAUAUUGCAAUUUUCAUGAUAUUUUUGAAUUUCUAAAUAUUAAAUAUUAAAAAAUAUAUCAUUACAUCAAUAUUUUUUUUAAAUUACACAUUUAUUCAACAAAAAUAAAAAUAUUUGUUAUAAUAAAAAAUUAGUUGAAUAAAAUUUUUAGAAAAAAAUUGAACAAGACAAAGAUUAUAAUAAUCGAUAUUUCAGAUCGAAAGUGAUUGCAGCGCCACGUAGGUCAUCGAUAAUCGAUAAUGCUAACGUAAUAAUAUAAUUUUGUAUUGAUAAACGAUAUCAGAAAAUAUUUCGCAAUUUUAAUUAUAAAAUAUCUGGAAAUCGAUGAUUCUCGUGAUAAAUAACUUCAACUGUUUAUAACUUAAUAAAUAUAUUUCUUGUAUAAUAAUUUAAACUUGCGUAACUUUUAAUGUAUAUAAUCAUAUAUAACUAAAAUUAAUUUUCCAAUGAUAUUCCAUGAAUAUAAAGUAAUAUCUUAUAUAAAUAAAUAUAUAUAUAUUGUAUAAACGAUUUACUUAUUAUUAUUAAAAUUAAUUAUUUAAAUAAAA